CUGAUUAGGGAUCACUAGAAGAGUGUCAGUAGGUACAUCAAGAAGUGGCUUCAGUUCUAGAGUAGGUGGUGAUUCUAACAAGAGAGCUAUUGGGGGGUUAGAUGAUGGCUUAUAUUUUUUAAUCCAAAAUAGGAUGAUUUUAGGAUAGGACAUAUUGACUAGAUCAUUUGUUUUUGUGAUACAUCCAUCGACAUCAAAAUUGUCCACCCCG
rnacentral:lncRNA from 1 species